GAUGAACGCUGGCGGCGUGCCUAAUACAUGCAAGUCGAGCGAACGGACGAGAAGCUUGCUUCUCUGAUGUUAGCGGCGGACGGGUGAGUAACACGUGGAUAACCUACCUAUAAGACUGGGAUAACUUCGGGAAACCGGAGCUAAUACCGGAUAAUACUUUGAACCGCAUGGUUCAAAAGUGAAAGACGGUCUUGCUGUCACCUAUAGAUGGAUCCGCGCUGCAUUAGCUAGUUGGUAAGGUAACGGCUUACCAAGGCAACGAUGCAUAGCCGACCUGAGAGGGUGAUCGCGCACACUGGAAGUGAGCCACGGUCCUGGCUCCUACGGGAGGCCGCGGUAGGGAAUGUUCGGAGAUGGGCGGAAUACUGCCGGAUCGGCGCCGGGCUGAUGAUGAAGGGCUGCGGGUCGUAAGACUCUGUUAUUGGGGAAGAACAUUUGUGUAAGUAACUGUGCACUGCGUGACGGUACCUGAUCAGAAAGCCACGGCUAACUACGUG
rnacentral:rRNA from 1 species